rnacentral:rRNA from 1 species
GAGUUUGAUCGUGGCUCAGGACGAACGCUGGCGGCGCGCCUAACACAUGCAAGUCGAGGGGCAGCGGGGUGUAGCAAUACAUCGCCGGCGACCGGCGCACGGGUGAGUAACGCGUAUGCAACUUGCCUAUCAGAGGGGGAUAACCCGUCGAAAGACGGACUAAUACCGCAUGAAACAGGGGUCCCGCAUGGGGAUAUUUGUUAAAGAUUAUAUCGCUGAUAGAUAGGCAUGCGUUCCAUUAGGGUAGUUGGUGGGCAACGGCCCACCAAGCCGACGAUGGAUAGGGGUUCUGAGAGGAAGGUCCCCCCACACUGGUACUGAGACACGGACCAGACUCCUACGGGAGGCAGCAGUGAGGAAUAUUGGUCAAUGGGCGAGAGCCUGAACCAGCCAAGUCGCGUGAGGGAUGAAGGCCCUACGGGUUGUAAACCUCUUUUAUAAGGGAAUAAAGGGGUGCCACGUGUGGCGUAUUGCAUGUACCUUAUGAAUAAGCA